GAGCAGAAUAGCUUGUCCCCUGGGAGAAACGAAUUCUUCCUCCUGAUGCCCUCACACAGGCUCAGAGCGCUGAUACCCUUGAUUUGCUUUGUCCCCAACCGCUGUAAGCACCCCAAAGGCAGGGCCCCCCUUUUAUUCCUAGCCCCCUGGUUCCCCACCAAGGCUGGAGCCCUGGACACCAGACUCGUUGGGAAGCUUGGACAACUGACACUUCUCCAUGUCUCAGGCCCCCAUCUGAUCUGCUAAAUGGACACAAUAAAAGUGCCAGCCUCAGAGGGUUGGCUGAGCCUGACCCAGGCUGCAGCCCAUGGGUCUCCGUCCCGGGACCUGGAAGUGGGAUUUCCCAAGGGAAGCAUUCCAUCUGAGAUGCACACUGAGAACAGAAACGUGGAGAUGGCCAAGAGCUGAGAGUCGCCAAAGUGAGUCAGUGGGGGUGGGGGACUUUAUCUGGGAACUGUUCAUGAAAUAGAUAAAAGUAGAGUACUUUUGGAGGAGGAAGACUGGGCCGGAUGGGGGAUGAGCUGUUCAUCACUGCUGGAGUCUCCCCUCCCCACUGGCCCGCCCCCAGGCGCUGAGCCCUCUGGGCCCUGACUCCUGCUCUUUGGAGCUUCUUGUGAAACCCGUGGUCUCCGAAGCACGCAGGGAAGCUGGGGCAGGCAUCAGAGAAGGGACAGAGUUGAAGAAAGCAGUGGAGACUGGGCCCAGUGAGGAAAGGGAAAAGGAAUUGCAGGCUGUGUCCAAGAGUACAAGAAUUAAUUACACAGGAGGACCAGCUGUUCCCCAUAAUCAGUGAGGACAGAACAAGAGGAAACAGGCCCAAAGGACUGAGAUUUAAAUUUAGAUAUUUAGAAGGAUUUCCCAGAAGUGCUCGAAGCAGAGGCCCGGAGCUCCUGGGAGGGUGUGUGGGUGAUACGUCAAGGAGAUUCUCACCUACGGAAGACAGGUGACCUGGACCAGCAUGAAGGCAGAGAAAUGGACAACUUGACUUUUCAGGACCAGCCACGAGCGCUGAGUUUAAGUAUCACCAGAGGAGGGGCCAACUUUGUGGUUUUUUUUAACCUGUGUAGACACAGGGCGCCACACUUAAUUUAAUGUUCUGCUGUUGCCAACUCUAAAUUCUUAAUAAUGUUUGAACAAUUGGCUUAGCAUUUUCAUUUUGUACUGGGCCCCACAAAUUAUGUAGCCGGUUCUGCACCACGAUGAGUAGGAAGAAAAACAAGGGAAGAAAAUUAGCAGAGGGUGAGCUGGGCUUUGCUUCCCUUAAAUUGCAAAGCGGGAGAGCUCGAUCAGAUAACGCAGCAAUUUCUCAGAAGUGAGAGACGUGAAAACAGUGGAACAGGGUACCGGAGGAGGAAGGACUGGGGGUCUCCUUCAGGAGAGAAGAGAGACAGAUACCUGUGAAUUCCGUUUUCCAUCUACUCAACGGAGCACGGAGUCCUGGCUGUGUGGGCUGCGUGCAGCCUAAGUCCGCCUCGAGGAAGACGAAGUGGCCUCCACCCCUCCUGCAGCUCGGGCAGCAGGCACCGGUGUGCUGGGUUCCAGGCCUGGGUCACCUCUCUGGGCCUCAGUGUGUUCGUCUGUACACUGAGGUGUUUGGACUGGGUAUUUCCAAAGGUCCUUCCCAGCCUUAAAUGAUCUUCUUGGACUCUAAGAUUCUGGAAACUGCCUGGUCUUUGGGCCCUGUCACCACAGCUCAGGUAAAAAGGCAAUCUGGCUGGUGCCACAGUUUGGGGAGGGUGGGGACAGCCCUGCACCUUAGGAAGAGUCUGUCAGACGGGGCCCAGAUUGCCUGAGCCACCGAGUCACCUUCUUCUUCCUCUCCGGCUCCUCCAAGAUGUCCCCUGCGUGGGCUCAUCUGCUCCUGGCCCAGCCCUGAGCACUGGGAUGACUCAUCUCAGGAGGGAGCCUUCUGAGGAAGGGCCAGCACUUCAGGGCAGGAGGCUGAGAUUAGACCAGGGCCGCACAGCGCCUCGGGGCAGGUUGGCGUGCGGCCUGGGCUCUGAGGAGAUGCUGCUGCUCCAGGAUGACCUCCUCUCUCAUAGCCCAGUGACCCCUGGAAUGUCCCCGCCACAGGCCUUCUCGAGGCUCCGGCUCUACCAGACUGGCCCCACCGAAGGAGGAAGAGGGGGAGUGGGAGGAGGCCGAGCUUGGAGUUGGAGCCGCUGUGGGUGAAUAUCAGCUCCCGUGUCUGUGAGAAAGGGCUGGUGAUACCUCUUUGCCAGUUCUCAGAGUAAAAGCAAAAUACCCUCUACCAGCAAGAGUCCUGUACCAGCUAAAGCCCCACGGAGACACCGGGCUUCUUGUGAGGGCGGGAGGGCCCCAGCUGCGGCCGGGAGCAGGAGCACGACGACGGAGAGUGGCGGCCUCUGUGUUCUUGCCCGCUCUAAGCUGGGUGCUGAACCGGCCCCUCCCCCCCGACAGCCCCGGGGCUCGGCUGCGAGGUGGGUGUGCAGGGGCCGCGGAGGAUGGCGAGUGUGAGGCAGCCAUUCUGAAAAAGGAUUCAGGACAUGCCUAGUAAAAACAGGGUAAAACAAAUACAUUAAAUUCUGCUGGCGAGUUUGUAAUGAGAGGCCACUGUGCCCACCCUCAGACCCUCUCGCUGAGGCCAAGCCUCUUCCCAAAGUUUCAGCUAUUCGUCUCUCUGACAUUUGCUUCGGUAACUCCAGAUAGUAUGUGGACAAUGGUACCUGUAGCUUUUGUUCAGCUUUAUUGAGGUAUAACUGAUAAAUAAAAUAGUAAGAUAUUUAAA